UCAGCGGUUAAGAGCACUGACUGCUCUUCC
rnacentral:piRNA from 2 species